AUUGAACGCUGGCGGAAUGCUUUACACAUGCAAGUCGAACGGCAGCACGGACUUCGGUCUGGUGGCGAGUGGCGAACGGGUGAGUAAUGUAUCGGAACGUGCCCAGUCGUGGGGGAUAACGUAGUGAAAAUUACGCUAAUACCGCAUACGACCUAUGGAUGAAAGCGGGGGAUCGCAAGACCUCGCGCGAUUGGAGCGGCCGAUAUCAGAUGAGGUAGUUGGUGGGGCAAAGGCCCACCAAGCCAACGAUCUGUAGCUGGUCUGAGAGGACGACCAGCCACACUGGAACUGAGACACGGUCCAGACUCCUACGGGAGGCAGCAGUGGGGAAUUUUGGACAAUGGGCGAAAGCCUGAUCCAGCCAUUCCGUGUGCAGGAUGAAGGCCCUCGGGUUGUAAACUGCUUCUGUACAGAACGAAAAGGUUUCUACUAAUACUAGGAGCUCAUGACGGUACUGUAAGAAUAAGCACCGGCUAACUACGUGCCAGCCGCCGCCGUAA
rnacentral:rRNA from 1 species